UACGGGGGGGGCAAGCGUUAAUCGGAAUUACUGGGCGUAAAGGGUGCGUAGGCGGUUCGUUAAGUCUGUCGUGAAAUCCCCGGGCUCAACCUGGGAAUGGCGAUGGAUACUGGCGAGCUAGAGUGUGUCAGAGGAUGGUGGAAUUCCCGGUGUAGCGGUGAAAUGCGUAGAGAUCGGGAGGAACAUCAGUGGCGAAGGCGGCCAUCUGGGACAACACUGACGCUGAAGCACGAAAGCGUGGGGAGCAAACAGG
rnacentral:rRNA from 1 species